rnacentral:rRNA from 1 species
CGGGUGAGUAACGCGUGGGUAACCUGCCUCAUACAGGGGGAUAACGAUUGGAAACGAUUGCUAAUACCGCAUAAGCGCACAGUACCACAUGGUGCAGUGUGAAAAACUCCGGUGGUAUGAGAUGGACCCGCGUCUGAUUAGCUAGUUGGUGAGGUAACGGCCCACCAAGGCAACGAUCAGUAGCCGACCUGAGAGGGUGACCGGCCACAUUGGGACUGAGACACGGCCCAA